rnacentral:rRNA from 1 species
GAUGAACGCUGGCGGCGUGCCUAAUACAUGCAAGUCGAGCGAACAGAUAAGGAGCUUGCUCCUUUGACGUUAGCGGCGGACGGGUGAGUAACACGUGGGUAACCUACCUAUAAGACUGGGAUAACUUCGGGAAACCGGAGCUAAUACCGGAUAACAUUUGGAACCGCAUGGUUCUAAAGUGAAAGAUGGUUUUGCUAUCACUUAUAGAUGGACCCGCGCCGUAUUAGCUAGUUGGUAAGGUAACGGCUUACCAAGGCGACGAUACGUAGCCGACCUGAGAGGGUGAUCGGCCACACUGGAACUGAGACACGGUCCAGACUCCUACGGGAGGCAGCAGUAGGGAAUCUUCCGCAAUGGGCGAAAGCCUGACGGAGCAACGCCGCGUGAGUGAUGAAGGGUUUCAGCUCGUAAAACUCUGUUAUUAGGGAAGAACAAAUGUGUAAGUAACUGUGCACGUCUUGACGGUACCUAAUCAGAAAGCCACGGCUAACUACGUG